rnacentral:rRNA from 1 species
UACGGAGGGUGCGAGCGUUGUCCGGAAUCAUUGGGCGUAAAGGGCGCGUAGGUGGCCCGGUCAGUUCGUGGUGAAAGCGCGGGGCUCAACUCCGCGUCGGCCAUGAAUACUGCUGGGCUGGAGCACUGUAGAGGCAGGCGGAAUUCCGGGUGUAGCGGUGGAAUGCGUAGAGAUCCGGAAGAACACCGGUGGCGAAGGCGGCCUGCUGGGCAGUGGCUGACACUGAGGCGCGACAGCGUGGGGAGCAACAGG